GCGCAGAUGGUGGAACUGGUAGACACGUUAGACUUAAAAUCUGAUGCCCAAAAGGCGUGCGGGUUCGAUUCCCGCUCUGCGCACCA
rnacentral:tRNA from 4 species